UCAGACAACCCAGUUUUAUGUGAGAGUAGCUCCACCUGUCACUUCACAGAACCUCUCCUUUCUCUCCACAGCAGCUCAAGCACACAGCUCUGACUGGAGGGCGUGUACCCCAGAAUCUACAUUUCCAUAAAUGUUCUGACGCUGCUGGCCCAGGACCACCGUAAGUAAAAGGCACCCUUUACUUUGUUUUGCUGAGGAAGAAUUAAACAGGUGUCAGGACACUCAGCUUCCCUGGUGUCGGCACAGUGCUGUCUCACUCAACCACACAGCUUUGGCUUGACUGGGCCUUAAAUGUUCCUUGUCUAGGCGCAUGGUACAUUCUCUUUCUGUCUUCCAGCCUCUGUCUCUUGACAGUUUUGAAGUGUACAGACAACUGUUUCAGAGAACUCUCCUUAAUUUAGACCUGUCUAUUUUUAUCUAAUGAUUAAAUUGUAAUUAUGUAUUUUAGGCAAAAGCCAUAAAAACAAAAAACUUGAUGUGGCCUCAGCAUCAAACCACCAAGUUUCGUUACAUAAAGCUAAAAUUCUGAGUAACUUAUGGGAAAAAGACAAAAACAACUUUUUAAAAAAACCUACGGUUGCUGGGUACAUGGAGGUCAGAGACCAACUUGUAGGUGUCUGUUCUCCCAGGCCCAGAAAUAGAUCUCAUUAGGCUUAACACCAAGCACCUUUAUCCACUAAACCAUCCUGUCGGCCCCAGACCAUCUCCUUAUCCCAGGAUAACAUUGUUUUCCAUUGGGCAGUCAGCAGUUCUGUAGUUUACCUAGUAAUUUUCCAUUCCCAUCAUCCUCUCCUUUCAUAUUAACUUGGAAUUCUGUUAGGAAGAAUGCUCCCAUCUGACCAAACAUGUAUGAAUUGAAAGGGUACCUGCUUUAUGUGGGCAAGAGGACAUUGUUGUCAUGAUUUCACAACUCACAUGGCCCACAGGGUCCUAGUUUGGCCAGAUGUGAGCCCUUUAGGAUGGGCACAGUUGUCUCCGACUUCAGUGGUUAAUAUCUGAGCUCUUCCUCUCUGGCUAGUUCCCAUAAUUAUUAACUUCCCUAGUGAGCCAGGCUUUUCUCUUUAGAGUAUGACACUAAAUGUACGACCUACUAUUUAGUGUCACUGUGUCUGGGUGCCCUAAGCAGAGUUGGCUGGAUUCAUUUCAUCUUUCAGACAUCCAGCUAGAUCCCACCACAGGCUUCAAGCAGCCUAUUCCAGCCUGAUUUCUUUGUAAAACAAGUAAAAGACCAUUAAGUGUGUGUGUGUGUGUGAUCGUGAUCCCGUGGAACAAGUGUUAGACAGUUGUAAGCCACCAUGUGGAUGCUGGGAACUGAACCUAGAUCCCUAGAUCCUGUGGAAGAUCAAAUGUUCAUAACUGCUGAGCCAUCUCUCAAACCCCAUACCCUUAACUCAUUUACUCAGUAUUUAUACACAACCUAAUUUCACAAUGCAUUCUCCAUAAGAAACAAACUUUACUGAAGCAAGAAAAUGCCUAUUUACCAUUAUGUCCUUGUAGAAUCUAGUUCAGAUAUUACUGGCCUGCUACUGGACUCCUGCUUUUUGUCUUCCAGCCCCACAGCAUUUGUUACUCUUGCAUUCAGUGAAGUGCCCUUGUGUGCUCAUGUCUGCCUUCCCCCUCCUGCUCCUUCCUAUCGGGCCACUCACUUCCUCCUAUGACCAUCAGAUCUCAUUCACUUGUGGCUUGUUCACCUCAGAUUUGGACACAAAUGAGGAAAUGUAUUAAACUGUCUUUGGCUUUUUCCUCCUAAGGAUGAGUAUUACCUUUGGUUUGAGCAGUAAUGUGGGCUGCAGGUGGCGUCAUCAGAGCUAGAAGACCUUCAGGAUGUGUCAGCAGGAUGAGCUGGCCAACAUGCUUCCCAGCCAUUGACUUGCAGUCUAAACUUGAUACAAAAGCAGAAACCUGGAGACUUUAUUCACUCCACUACUGCCAAGAAUUCAACAGGACCGCUGUGGAGACAAGAAAGGCUGGACAUGAAAACUCCUGUGUGGUGGAUAAAGGGGCAGUGGCUUUCCAUAGCACAGAUUCUUUACUUCUUGACAUAACCGUGAACAUAUAUUGCUGGAACCUAGAAUCACCAAGGCCCACCCUGCCAGUACUCACAAAGAAACAUCACUUACCCCAAUCCAAUGGCCAGCAGAUGAGACAGCAACAGAGAUGGAAGAAAAACCUUCAGAAAGUCUGCUGAGAAAAUGCCCCCUUUCUUCAUAACGCUUGUAUUUCUCAUGCUGAGUGUAGCUGUUCGCU